GGCCCUGACUAGCACCGGUAGAGCAUGGCAUUAACGUUGCCAGGGUUAGGGGUUCGAUUCCCACUGGGACCA